GGAAUAUUGGACAAUGGGGGAAACCCUGAUCCAGCGACGCCGCGUGAGUGAACAAGUAUUUCGGUAUGUAAAGCUCUAUCAGCAGGAACGAAAAUGACGGUACCUGACUAAGAAGCCCCGGCUAACUACGUGCCAGCAGCCGCGGUAAUACGUAGGGGGCAAGCGUUAUCCGGAUUUACUGGGUGUAAAGGGAGCGUAGACGGAUUUGCAAGUCUGAAGUGAAAGCCCGCAGCUCAACUGCGGAACUGCUUUGGAAACUGUAGGUCUGGAGUGCAGGAGAGGUAAGCGGAAUUCCUAGUGUAGCGGUGAAAUGCGUAGAUAUUAGGAGGAACACCAGAGGCGAAGGCGGCUUACUGGACUGUAACUGACGUUGAGGCUCGAAGGCGUGGGGAGCAAACA
rnacentral:rRNA from 1 species